GACGAAGGAUGCAAGCGUUAUCCGGAUUCAUUGGGUUUAAAGGGUGCGUAGGCGGCCUGCUAAGUCAGUGGUGAAAUCUUCUCGCUUGACGAGAAAACUGCCAUUGAUACUGGUGGGCUUGAGUACAGAUGCUGUGGGCGGAAUAUGACAUGUAGUGGUGAAAUACAUAGAGAUGUCAUAGAACACCGAUUGCGAAGGCAGCUCACAAAACUGUAACUGACGCUGAGGCACGAAAGUGCGGGGAUCAAACAGG
rnacentral:rRNA from 1 species